GGGAGGGGGGAGGCCGGGCCAGGCCAGGCCGCUCUAAUCCCGGAGCUGGGGCGGGGGAGCGUGGUGGGGAAGCAGUAGGAGCAGAGCCGUGUCCGCCUGCCUCGCCGUGCUUGCUCUCUAACCAUCGGUCUCUUUACGCACUUCAGGCGCUCGCAGAAUCACAUUCUUCUGCUAUCUCAGAAGGUGGUGCUACCAUGUGGUCAAGUCUGGAGGAUAUUAAUGCUGAUCUGAAAUAUUCUUCAGCCCUAAAACUGCUCUAGAUGUAAGCCAAACCUGGAUGUUUUAAAACCCAGCAGUGAGAACUCUGUUACCCUCAUUCUCUGAGGGCAAGGUGACACUUUUGUAAUUUCUUGUCUUUUUUAGGGGACUUCUUAUGGAUUACAUUAUCAGUGCACUGAGGGAAAAUGCGGAGCCUGCUGUUUGUGUGGGUAUUAGAAGUAAAAGGUAUUAAUAAGCUAAUGCAGAGCUUCCAUAGAGUUGGCUAACUCUUUUAAUGCGAAUCUGAGACUUGCUGUCAAGUGAGAUCCUUGUUAGAAGGAUGGGAGUUGCUACUGUUUUCCCAGUAGCAAAGCAAAGGAGUUCUCUCUUUGUGAGUUCAUAUGAGUGUCACGUGUGACAGCAGAACUUGCCACCUGGGGCCUUCCUAGGACACUUGGGUCCUGGACCAUCACUGCAUUCUUCCAAGUGACUGUCUUGUGCAUUUCUCUUGCUUUCUUUUGCCAAACCUAAUGCUUCUUUCUGUGAACCACUGUGUGGGGAACCACAACCCUUCCCACAGGGAGGGGGAGUCAAAAGGCAGGUGGUGGUCAGCCUUUACCAACUCUAUUGCGAGGCCUAAGCCCUGGGGAAUGCCCAUUAGUCUCGCUGGUCUUAUUUUUCUUUUCUUCAUUGUGGAGAAGGCUGUUCUGAUGUCUGAGGUGAGGAUAUAGAAGUGGGACAGUGUUCUGUCUCAGGAUCCCAUCCAGUGCAAAGACAAACUAAAAACUGAUCCAGAAGAUAAAGCUCUUUGACCCUUUCCUGCUCUGUGCUGGCAGAUACAGUCCCCUUCACUCACUAAAUUAAAAUGCCAGUUGCUUUUCAUGUCUGCAGCUUCUGAUGCUCUUGAAAGUGGGUUUUGCCUAGGGAAAUUACCUUGGCAAAGGUGAAGUUUAGUUUGAAACCUUAGUCCUUCUUGGAAGGUUGGCUGGAGGUCUGCAUGUAUCUAGAAGGGAGAUGUGCCUGCACUCUUGCUCAGAAAGGCUCUUGUGCCUGUCCAGUCUGUGUAAUUAAAUUGAAUUGGCAAUCAGAAUGUCAGCAUGGAAGUACAAAUUGUUCAGAAAGAUUUCAGAGUUCAGGUUCUGGGUUCAGCCACUGAAGGCAAAGGCCAAAAGGGAAUGCUACGGUUUUCUGGGGGUGGGGGAAAGCAGCAAAACUUCAAGGUCUAAUGAGGAAGAGAGUAAAAAGUUACAAAAUAGAAAGUUUGAAAAUAAUUUCAUAGCUUGGGAAAAGGCGAGAAAGAUGAGUAUCAUGAAAGGGGAGGCAUGGGACAGGCAGUCAUCCAGGCAAUAUUUUUCUGCUCCCGGUGCUACACUAGUAUUAAUGAAGAGCAAAAUCUGAAUAAGCUACUCACCCCUUCAGAGUUCAGGCUGAGAAGGUGGUAUAGGCUGAUCUGUUCAGUAAUAAGGAUCCAGUAUAUUAGUUUAAGGGCCAAUAUAUGAGUUUAGCAAAAGGAAUCAAUGAGUGCUAAUUCUAAAACUUUCAACUUUGCUUGGUGUGUGGUCAGCCUUCUUUUCUCUUAAUUCUGCUUAUAAGAAGCACUGGAGUUAUAAUAGACUACUUGUCUUUGCAUUUUACCAGGUGUAAGGAUGUUCUCCUUGGAUUUUCACAUGUAUUGUUUUGGAAGUUGCUCAUUAUGGCCCAACAAGCAAUGGAAUUUUGCCAGGUUGGGGAGAAACAGCUAAAGGUCAGCCAAAAGUCUCUGUGAUGAAGCUAAUGGGGGAAAAAUGGGGAUAAAGUAAGUGGGUGUACGACUACUAACUGCAACUGUGCAUGCACAAAGGAACAUUAACAUAUAUUAAUAAAAUGUAUUAAUGAGUUCUUGGAAAAGAAUGAAAUGUAUGUCUUAACUGUUUAAAUGUAGAACCUCAACUCUGAGAGAGUGUGCGUUUGUUGUCAGCCGGUAAGUACUGCAAGGAAUAAAGGAGCUGCUUUCUAACACUA